AAAGUCGUAACAAGGUUUCCGUAGGUGAACCUGCGGAAGGAUCAUUACAAAAGCCAAAAAAGGAAAAAUGGGAAGAGGAAUAGGAGAGCGAUCUCUUAUUUCUUUUCCUUUUUUCUUUUUUUGAAAAAUAAAUUUUGACGCGUUUUACCUUGGUAGAACACGUUGAAAUCCCAAUUCGCGUUUUUUAAAUAUUGUCAGUCAUUUUUCUUUUGAAAAACAAACAAAAAAAGCCUUAAAACCGCUUCAUAUGUUUGAAAAUAAUAACAAAAAAUAACUUUUAACAAUGGAUCUCUUGGCUCUC
rnacentral:misc_RNA from 1 species